AGAGUUUGAUCCUGGCUCAGAGUGAACGCUGGCGGCGUGCUUAACACAUGCAAGUCGAACGAGAACGGAUUUUAGCUUGCUAAAAUUGUCAGCUAAGUGGCGCACGGGUGAGUAAUAUAUAGGUAACGUGCCCUAGAGAAGAGGAUAACAUCUGGAAACGGUUGCUAAUACUCUAUAUGCCUUUAAGUCAUAAGACUGCAAGGGAAAUAUUUAUAGCUCUAGGAUCGGCCUGUACGGUAUCAGUUUGUUGGUGAGGUAAUGGCUCACCAAGACUAUGACACCUAACUGGUUUGAGAGGAUGAUCAGUCACACUGGAACUGAGACACGGCCCAGACUCCUACGGGAGGCAGCAGUGGGGAAUAUUGCACAAUGGACGAAAGUCUGAUGCAGCAACGCCGCGUGGAGGAUGACACAUUUCGGUGCGUAAACUCCUUUUAUAUAGGAAGAUAAUGACGGUACUAUAUGAAUAAGCACCGCUAACU
rnacentral:rRNA from 1 species